rnacentral:rRNA from 1 species
GAUGAACGCUGGCGGCGUGCCUAAUACAUGCAAGUCGAGCGAACGGACGAGAAGCUUGCUUCUCUGAUGUUAGCGGCGGACGGGUGAGUAACACGUGGAUAACCUACCUAUAAGACUGGGAUAACUUCGGGAAACCGGAGCUAAUGCCGGAUAAUAUUUUGAACCGCAUGGUUCAAAAGUGAAAGACGGUCUUGCUGUCACUUAUAGAUGGAUCCGCGCUGCAUUAGCUAGUUGGUAAGGUAACGGCUUACCAAGGCAACGAUGCAUAGCCGACCUGAGAGGGUGAUCGGCCACACUGGAACUGAGACACGGUCCAGACUCCUACGGGAGGCAGCAGUAGGGAAUCUUCCGCAAUGGGCGAAAGCCCGACGGAGCAACGCCGCGUGAGUGAUGAAGGUCUUCGGAUCGUAAAACUCUGUUAUUAGGGAAGAACAUAUGUGUAAGUAACUGUGCACAUCUUGACGGUACCUAAUCAGAAAGCCACGGCUAACUACGUG